AGAGUUUGAUCCUGGCUCAGGACGAACGCUGGCGGCGUGCCUAAUACAUGCAAGUAGAACGCUGAAGAGAGGAGCUUGCUCUUCUUGGAUGAGUUGCGAACGGGUGAGUAACGCGUAGGUAACCUGCCUGGUAGCGGGGGAUAACUAUUGGAAACGAUAGCUAAUACCGCAUGAAAUUGCUUAUCGCAUGAUAAUUAAUUGAAAGAUGCAAUUGCAUCACUACCAGAUGGACCUGCGUUGUAUUAGCUAGUUGGUGAGGUAACGGCUCACCAAGGCGACGAUACAUAGCCGACCUGAGAGGGUGAUCGGCCACACUGGGACUGAGACACGGCCCAGACUCCUACGGGAGGCAGCAGUAGGGAAUCUUCGGCAAUGGGGGGAACCCUGACCGAGCAACGCCGCGUGAGUGAAGAAGGUUUUCGGAUCGUAAAGCUCUGUUGUAAGAGAAGAACGGGUGUGAGAGUGGAAAGUUCACACUGUGACGGUAUCUUACCAGAAAGGGACGGCUAACUACGUGCCAGCAGCCGCGG
rnacentral:rRNA from 1 species